rnacentral:rRNA from 1 species
GAACUGAAGAGUUUGAUCCUGGCUCAGAUUGAACGCUGGCGGCAUGCCUUACACAUGCAAGUCGAACGGUAACGCGGGGCAACCUGGCGACGAGUGGCGAACGGGUGAGUAAUAUAUCGGAACGUGCCCAAUAGUGGGGGAUAGCCCGGCGUAAGCCGGAUUAAUACCGCAUGAGACCUGAGGGUGAAAGCGGGGGACUCGCAAGAGCCUCGCGCUAUUGGAGCGGCCGAUAUCAGAUUAGGUAGUUGGUGGGGUAAAAGCCUACCAAGCCGACGAUCUGUAGCUGGUCUGAGAGGACGACCAGCCACACUGGGACUGAGACACGGCCCAGACUCCUACGGGAGGCAGCAGUGGGGAAUUUUGGACAAUGGGCGCAAGCCUGAUCCAGCCA